rnacentral:misc_RNA from 1 species
UAGGGUGUCCAGGCGCCGGAUCUGAGCGAACGUCUCAGCCGGUUAGCUCAUGGGUGGAACAUUGACAUUGGUGCGGAGCCGAACGGCUCGAACUCAGUACGCCUCUUGCAGGUAGGAACGGUUCGGACCCGGAAGCCCCGCACAUGCACGCUGUUGGGUCCUGAGGGACCGGACCUUAUCCGAACGGAUGAGAACCGAAUCCUCUGGACCUUUUCUGGUCGGCCAUAACUGGGCCGGCGGAGAAGGUACCGCCCGUACUUUGAGAACUACACAGUGGACGCGAGCAUCUUAGAUUCGAACCUUCGGGUUCGGAUCACAAAGAUGAUCUGAUUUAUUAGAUCAUUGGUCAAUCUCCUCAUCUUCGGAUGAGGCGAUCGAUUCUAAAACUCAUGUGAU